GGGGUAGACAGGGGUAACACUAGUUCAACCUUGGGAAACAGGUCCAGACAAGUCCUUGGUAUAAGAUUAGCAUAAGCAGACAUGGCGGGGCAAGACUCAGGUAUAAGAUGAGCAUAGACAAAUAUGUCUUAAGUACCCACCACCCAAAAGUACAAUAGAAGUUCCUUUGCAUGUCUGGACCCCUUGGCAAGUCUGGUGAUGGGAUUAGGCUUCCCUUGGAGAACAAUGAGCUCAGCAAUCGUCAGCUCUGGGCAUUUCCUGGGGUAGGAGGUGUGUACACAUGUCUUCGAGCUUGGGGAGGUGGCAGGGGAAAGAGUCCUUUUUCCAAGGGCAAAAUGGUGUUGGAAUGGAGGAACUUGGCAAAAGUGUUGAUUUCAUAUGAUUCAUAAAGCUAGGUAUAUUCCCUGAGCUGUCAAGCCAAAAGGAUACAUUCAGGCACAAUAUUUGUAACUGUUAACAACCUUAAAGAUGUGCCCCACCCCCCAUAAUUUCCGUAACAGGAAUCAUUUCUACUUCUUCCAGAGCUAGCAGUCAUCGAAAGCCCUCUCCUCCUCCGUGAAUUUGUCCAAACCUCUUUUCAAGCCACCCAAGCUGAUGGCCAUCCCUGGCUCCUGUGGCAGGGAGUUCCAUAGGUUAACUAUGCGCCGCGUGGAGACAGACUUCCUUUUCUGUGUCCAGAAUCUGCAUAACAAUUUAGGGGCUUCUUUUGGAAACUUUGGCCAGCUGAAGCCGUUGUUUGUUUUCUCAUCAAGUCUUGCGUGGGGAUGUCAUGGGAUUGGAAAGAAGAUAUUCCUUUAUUUCCCAAUGUUAAGGCAGGGUCCUCUUUAGCUGGAGUGUUAGUCUCCUGUUUUGCUCUGCCCCAUCCAAUUCCAUCCCUCCAUCCCCACCCCCCGGUCAGCCCUGAUGCUUCCAGGUGCCAUAAGAAAGCUGCAGAAAUGAUCUCUUUCAGCUUCUGCCUUCUGGAAGAAGGUCCAGGGUUAUAAAGACUAGGACUAGCCGCCUGAGAAACAGUUUCUAUCCAAAUGCAAUUUUGGUUUUAAAUGCAGUGUAAGGUAGUCUCUCCUGCCAACCUAGCAGUUCGAAAGCAUGUCAAAGUGCAAGUAGAUAAAUAGGUACCGCUCUGGCGGGAAAUAACGGCAUUUCUGUGCACUGCUCUGGUUCACCAGAAGCGGCUUAGUCAUGCUGGCCACAUGACCCGAAAGCUGUACAUCGGCUCCCUCAGCCAACGAAGCAAGAUGAGUGCCACAACCCCAGAGUCAGCCAUGACUGGACCUAAUGGUCAGGGGUCCCUUUACCUUUUAAGGUAGUCUCUGUGGGAGUAUAUUGUAUUUAAUUAUGGGGUAUCAGAGUUUUUAGGGGACUAACCAGGCUGGGAUAGCAGGCAUGCUGGUUUUUUGAAUGUCUGAUGUAGAUUUUUUCAAUUUCAUUGUUCUGUAUGGGACAAUGACAAUAAAGAUUAUUGUAUCGUAUAAGCAACCUCUUCUCUGGUUCCCCAGGAAAACUGCAUGCUCUGAGAAGUACAAGCGGCUGGCACCAUUCUUCUCCUUAUGGAGACACUUGUGAACUCUGGGAAGAAGACUCACUCUUCCAUUCUUUGCAGAGCAAGAACGGGAAAGCUGCAACUCUCUGGAAAGCUACAAUAGUGGUGAUGGGAGAAGCGGUUCCCAAACUUUUUCAGGCCCCUCCUUGGUUCCAUAAACGCACCCCCAGGGCCACCUGCCCCAUAAAAAAGCAUUACUCAGAAUAGAGGUUUGUACGACCCACCAAGGAAGACAGUAACAUGAUAAAGCUCAAAACAGUAACAA